GGGGGUUCCGGAAAAUGGGGAAAAUNCGAAGGCCCGAGCNUACAAACACACCUUAACAACUCGCCUANUGUUAAAGUGUGUCCUUNGUCGAUACUGGUANUAAUGCGGUUCCGAUAAAUCCACUGUGGAUAUCUUNUGAGUUCGAUACGUAGGUUGCGCAACCCUCGAGAGGGUAUACCAGCUGGACGUCCGCCGGCGCUUAAGUGAUCACUAAUUGCGCUUCUNGGAAUGGUCCGGAACUGUAGGUUACUUGAAAGGUCUCUACCUAACCACGGAAGCCCUUGUAACUCUGUCCACGACGUACCGACAGCAGUCGAGCACAGCACUCUACAACCCAAUUCAGGGCAUUGCUCGCGUUGGGAACAGGAAUCAAUGGUCGUGCAAUUCCACCCGUGAGAUUCCUCUGACGGCCACUGUUUGGCCUCCUUCCACCCCUACUGCAGUUCAGUAGUACCGGGAAUGCCGGACCCGAUGUGUGCACGAUGUUACCAGCCAUGUCUCCCAACGGUUCGGCGCUCCACCUCGAUUAGGGUAUUUUGGCUAGCAUCAGGCCUAGCGUCAGACGUUGAGCUGACGCACUUCAGCCUUAGCGAUCAUUAGCGCUUAGUCUUACAGCGCCACUUAUGCAAGGGCCCGGAACAUGUGUGGCUUAGCUUAANG
rnacentral:rRNA from 1 species